UACGUAGGGGGCAAGCGUUGUCCGGAAUCAUUGGGCGUAAAGCGCGUGUAGGCGGUCCGGUAAGUCCGCUGUGAAAGUCGGGGGCUUAACCCUCGGAUGCCGGUGGAUACUGUCGGGCUUGAGUACGGAAGAGGCGAGUGGAAUUCCUGGUGUAGCGGUGAAAUGCGCAGAUAUCAGGAGGAACACCAAUUGCGAAGGCAGCUCGCUGGGACGUUACCGACGCUGAGACGCGAAAGCGUGGGGAGCAAACAGG
rnacentral:rRNA from 1 species